rnacentral:rRNA from 1 species
CCCUUAGAUGUUCUGGGCCGCACGCGCGCUACACUGACGAAGUCAGCGAGCAUGUCCUACGCCGACAGGUGCGGGGAAUCUUGUCAAACUUCGUCGUGAUGGGGAUUGAUUAUUGAAAUUCUUGAUCAUCAACGAGGAAUUCCUAGUAAGCGCAAGUCAGCAGCUUGCGUUGAUUACGUCCCUGCCCUUUGUACACACCGCCCGUCGCUACUACCGAUUGGGUGUGCUGGUGAAAUGUUCGGAUCGGCCGUUUGUCGCGGUUUCCGCGGCUCGUGGCUGAGAAGUUCAUUAAACCCUCCCACCUAGAGGAAGGAGAAGUCGUAACA